AUGUGUUGGGAUUCGCCGCCAUCACGACCUAGACGGCGUUUGGAAGCCCCGGCCGACGAGCUACAGCGUGGCUGGCGCCACCCGCACUGCUCGGCCUCCGCCUCCACAUCGCCAUCGAACAUCAUCUCCUGCUCCUCCCCACCUCUGUCCCCCGUGGAUGCGGACGCUGUUCACCACAUCACCAUCCUCUCCGGUUGGAGAUGCGGCUGGACUAUGAUCCUUUGGUGGUGGACGACUGCAGUUGUGAUUGCCUUUUUUACUUCCUCUUCUUAUGUAUCAGUUGUGAUGUUCUUCCCUUUUUGUCUUGUAAGCAGAGUAGUUGGCUUGUUGCUGCCUGUUUCAGAAGGAGAUCCUUUUCCUGUUGUUGUUGUUGUUGUGCGUCCACCCAUGUUGUGGAUCAUUCCAGAGCAAAAUGCGCCACUUUUUCCUGAUCUGCACAGCCGAAAGGACAUGCAUCGUUGUCCAGGAUUCGUUGUCCAGGAGACAGCUGACCCUUUGCUGCAGUGGUGCACAGCAGUACUACCCCAGAAAGGAUUCGAGGAUGCCACAUAG
rnacentral:rRNA from 1 species